ACUCUGGAGCGGCACUCAUGGGAGCGAUCCAACCGAGUAUACAGGCGUGUAUCUAUCGAGCUCAAUCAGGCUUACACAGGGUAUAGUCAAUGCAAAUGGGUCAAACUGAUCUACAAUCAAAGCUCACAUACUCUCAGCACAAUCUGAAACAAAAUAUAAACAUCUAGGUCCACCGUCCGCCCCGACGGCACCCGACAGUACGGAACAGCCCAAACGCUACUGUAAAACGAGCUUGGCCCCUCAGCACGAUCGUAAACUCAACCUACACUAAUCUGAGUAUCCACUGCGCACUAACAGUGGUGAUACAAAAGAACAUAAGCUCCUGAAGCUAAAUCGGUUAACUUUUCGAAAAGUGACAGUGUAGGUUUAACGAGUUUUCUCCUAAGUCAAAUCUCAGUUCAACAUGUAACAAAUAUUCUAAAAUUAAGGCUCCAAAUUCAGAUUUCAUAAAAGAUAUGCAAAUCGAUGAAUUUGAGCUACUAAACAUGAUACCUCACAUAAGACAAUACAUGCUGACGCUCUACGGCUUAGAAGGAAAUCUGACGAUUUCGGUAAACAUUAACCCACCUCGAACGAUCGUCCAAUGUCGGCUAGAUGUCGAUAAGAGAACCCCGGACUAGCCCUACCUCAAACGGCUCAACCUCCAUCAGAACCACCCAAGGUGCACAAGCACCCUCCAAAGACCAAGGGAACGAAAACUAAGAUUGACUCUUCAGAAUC
rnacentral:lncRNA from 1 species